rnacentral:rRNA from 1 species
UACGGAGGAUGCGAGCGUUAUCCGGAUUUAUUGGGUUUAAAGGGUGCGUAGGCGAGAUGCCAAGUCAGCGGUAAAAAUGCGGUGCUCAACGCCGUCGAGCCGUUGAAACUGGCGUUCUUGAGUGGGCGAGAAGUAUGCGGAAUGCGUGGUGUAGCGGUGAAAUGCAUAGAUAUCACGCAGAACUCCGAUUGCGAAGGCAGCAUACCGGCGCCCUACUGACGCUGAGGCACGAAAGCGUGGGUAUCGAACAGG